rnacentral:rRNA from 1 species
UACAGAGGUGGCAAGCGUUGUUCGGAAUUACUGGGCGUAAAGGGCGCGUAGGCGGCCAUCUAAGUCAGACGUGAAAUCCCCCGGCUUAACCUGGGAACUGCGUCUGAUACUGGACGGCUUGAGUAUGGGAGAGGGAUGUAGAAUUCCAGGUGUAGCGGUGAAAUGCGUAGAUAUCUGGAGGAAUACCGGUGGCGAAGGCGGCAUCCUGGACCAUUACUGACGCUGAUGCGCGAAAGCUAGGGGAGCAAACAGG